rnacentral:sRNA from 2 species
UCCAUACUGCUACUCGAUCCAUAAUCAUCAACAGACUUUUGAUUAUUUCCAAUUUCUCCUUUCACACUCCCUGCGUCUCACUUUCUCGCGUCUUUCCCACUAGAAGAGCUGCUUAAUUCCUCACUCCAUUUUAUUAUCUUUCGAAAUCCCACGAGACAGCUGACGGAAGCAGUCGCCCACUAAUAAUCGGAUUUCUAGAAAGAAGAGAAAGGGGACCGCAACACGAAAAAUAGGCGAAUAACCACACGAAGCAAAAGUGAACAAUCAGAAACAGAUUUGUCUCUCGAUAUCAAGUUCAAAUUGAGCAAUGGGGUUACUAUCACUGGUCUGGGAUUUGGUACUGUUGCAAACGAGGGUACCAAAGGCGAGAGUUACGCAGCUGCGUUGCACACUCUAGGAACUGGAUACAGACAUCGAGACUGUGCGUGGUUCUAUCUCUCAACGAGGAUAAGGUCGGACAGGCUAUCUAUGACUUCUUAAGAGAAAACAACAAUGUCAAAAGAUCUGAUAUCUUCGUGGGUCGUAUUGAGAGCAACCUCGAGGAAAUUAAAUUGACGGAUGAACAGUUUGAGGCUAUGAAUAGUGGCAGAAGGAAGGCAUGCGCGGUUUGUGUGAACAUGAAGGACACCUUUGGGUAUAAUGUGUUCGCUCUGUUUUAUUUUCAUAGCAGGGCUUGCUUUCAGUCAAGGGACGUCAAUAUGCAAUUGCUGAGGGACUUGUCCAAGAUUUUUUUCUCCGUAAAGGUGACAGGGAAUCAAUUGUCUGGAACAAUCUCUCACAGAAUAGGCAUUUUUUGUUCGUCAUACUCAUCGAGCACUAUCGGGAAUCUGGAUGAUUACGG